rnacentral:rRNA from 1 species
ACGGGUGAGUAAUGUCUGGGAAACUGCCUGAUGGAGGGGGAUAACUACUGGAAACGGUAGCUAAUACCGCAUAACGUCGCAAGACCAAAGAGGGGGACCUUCGGGCCUCUUGCCAUCGGAUGUGCCCAGAUGGGAUUAGCUAGCAGGUGGGGUAACGGCUCACCUAGGCGACGAUCCCUAGCUGGUCUGAGAGGAUGACCAGCCACACUGGAACUGAGACACGGUCCAGACUCCUACGGGAGGCAGCAGUGGGGAAUAUUGCACAAUGGGCGCAAGCCUGAUGCAGCCAUGCCGCGUGUAUGAAGAAGGCCUUCGGGUUGUAAAGUACUUUCAGCGGGGGAGGAAGGCGAUAAGGUUAAUAACCUUGUCGAUUGACGUUACCCGCAGAAGAAGCACCGGCUAACUCCGUGCCAGCAGCCGCGGUAAUACGGAGGGUGCAAGCGUUAAUCGGAAAUUACUGGGGCGUAAAAGCGCACGCAGGCGGGUCUGUCAAGUCCGGAUGUGAAAUCCCCGGGGCUCAACCUGGGGAACUGCAUUCGAAACUGGGCAAGGC